CAAUUUCUGGAGAUUGUUCAGUACAAUCAAAUUUGCUAGAGAAAAGAAUGAAAGUGUUUUUCAUCGUAGUUUUGGUGUUGAGCUUGAUUGCUCUCGCUGCAUCGGCCAAAACUGAUGCCGGUACCGGGAAUUUGUAUGAAGGUGAAAAAAAAGGAGGAUUCGGAAGGGGAUUCGGAAGAGCACGCAGACCUAAAUACAUAG